rnacentral:rRNA from 1 species
AUACGUAGGUGGCAAGCGUUGUCCGGAUUUAUUGGGCGUAAAGCGAGCGCAGGCGGUUCUUUAAGUCUGGUGUGAAAGCCCCCGGCCCCACCGGGGAGGGUCAUUGGAAACUGGAGAACUUGAGGGCAGCAGAGGGGAGGGGAAUUUCCAGUGUAGGGGUGUAAAGCGUAGAGAUCGGGAGGAACACCCGUGGCGAAGGCGGCCCCCUGGUUCGAUACUGACGCUGAUACGCGAAAGCGUGGGGAGCAAACAGGAUUAGAUACCCUGGUAGUCCACGCUGUAAACGAUGGGCACUAGGUGUGGGAGGUAUCGACCCCUUCCGUGCCGCAGCUAACGCAUUAAGUGCCCCGCCUGGGGAGUACGGCCGCAAGGUUGAAACUCAAAUGAAUUGACGG